rnacentral:lncRNA from 1 species
UUAGUUAAUUUGGGACUUCAACUCCAUUUACAAAAUCCCUUCACCGCAUUUCCUAGAUUAGUAUUGAAUGAAGAAUCAGGGAACUGGAAUUUUGGUAGAGAAAUUGAUAAAAGUACACCUUCCUCACAGAAUUUUACCAAGGGCUUUUAUAUGCAAGAUUCUUUGAACAAAGCUUAAAAGAAAUUUCAUGAUUUGCAUUGUAUAAGAUAAUACAUAGUAUUUAAAUUAAUCACUCAAAGCUAUGUCAUGGAUAAGUA